CCCUAGCCCAGAUGGAAACGGCAUCCUUUUUCUUUUUUUGUUUAAAAAGAAAAAGAUACAGUGAACAGCUGGAAGCAAC
rnacentral:sRNA from 1 species